ACAGAUCAACGACUCACACUUUUCCUUUCCUUUUUAAUUUCCCAAUACUCCUCAAAACCCUAUUCAUUUCUCACCGGUAGUUUCCCCUGGAUUCCCCUUCUCCCAAAUUCUCUCUUAGAAACCUUAGCCGCCUCCCUCUAUUUUUACCUUAAAAUCACCAGAAUCUAUGGCUUCCAAGGUAAUUGAAGUCUUAUAACGACCUCCUAUAACUCCUACAGGCCUUGUUAUUGAAGAUUCAAGGCCUGACCAUGUAGAAGCUUUGUUCAGGAAUCGUUUGAUUCAAGUUUUAUGGCUGUCUCUGGCCUUGCUAUGGCACGCCAUGGCUGUUCGAACUUGAUCUCGACUUCUCUUACUCGGAUCAAUGAUUUUCGAAGCCUUUCUCACCGUUUGGAUUCCUCUGAAACCCUAUAUUUUGAGAUUCUUUUGAUUUCUUUAUCCGUUCUAGAUCAGUUCAUUCAUUGAGCUUUUACAUGGUUUCUCAAGAUUUUUUUCAAAAACUAUUCUUUCAAACCUUUAUCUUUC
rnacentral:lncRNA from 1 species